CUAAAUGAAAGGGCUGCUCUGUUUAAUGGUCUCAUCUGGCUUCCCGAAGGCUGCGAUUUGGACUUAAAACUACUGGUUUUUGGAAAAGAAACUCUCUCCUAUGAUCAAAAUGUGCAAUUUGUUAAACAAGUAUUCAAUUUUAUAAAGAGAUCAAAACGAUUCCUCGUAGUAUAGUAUCAACAUAGGUAAAACGCAUAUCAUCAUCAUUAUCAUCAUCAACCUAAUUUCUGUCGUUCUUUCCUCAUUCCCUCUACUUUUUUCAGUAUAGUUAAGUAAUAUUUAUGUUGUUUAUAUUAUAUGAUGCAUGGUCAC
rnacentral:lncRNA from 1 species